UAUGUUCCUAGUUCUAUUCUAAGCACUUCACCGCUAUUAGGUCACAUGGACUAAGUGAAAGGUUACUAUAAAAAUACAAUAAAGUCAAAAUAACUGUAUUAAGUCCCAGGAAGCUCACGCUGCGUCCUCAAGGCUAUGUGUCCUACAGCUAUUCUUUCUGAAGGGGAAAUUAGCUAAGAGACACAGGAGAGCUAAAGAUGCAGCACCAAGCCCAGACUCUUCCAGCAACAAUCAGAAGGUAGGAAAGAGGAAGGAAAAAGGAAGAACUUUCUUAGAUCCCCAUCAAUGCCAUUGAUGAUGUGUCUGUGCACCCUCUAAAAUGAUCUCCCUUAGCAGCAGAGAAGCAAGGCAUAGGCCUUAGGAAAUAAGGGAAAACUGCAGACACCAGGAGCCAAAGAAGCCAUUUAGCCGAGAUUGUGCUGCUUAGAAAUAUACCAGUAGCAUGAUGUCACAUAUCUUCCUGUCUGUCUGAUUCACCCACUUCUUGGAGAACUCACAGGUCCUGCUUACUGGGCUACGAGGACAUUUGACCCAACCAAACUGAACCAGUCACCUUACCUAUUACGGAGAUCUGGAAUAAGGACUUCAGACUGAGGACAGCUUUUGCUGGACACUUGGUCUGGAAGACCCUUCUGGGAAGCGGCCUCUGCCCAGAGCUCCAACAAGAAGCACAGCUAAGUCCAGACCUGCCACAACCAAAUGAAGUCCUAAGAGAGAAGAAGCCAGAAGCACCGCCCAAGUUGCAGCAGGAAAUGCCCCUCUCCACUCUCUGUCAUUGGCUGAGUGCCUGCCUCCAAUGUCAGAGGCACUGCCUUCUGGAGAGAGACAGUGAGAGCAGCAACACAAGCAGGGGGAGUGGGAGAGGGAGAAGCAGGCUUCCUGGCGACCAAGGAGCCCGAUGCGGGACUCAAUCCCAGGACCCUGGGAUCAUGACCUGAGCCGAAGGCAGAUGCCCAACGACUGAGCCACCCAGGCGCCCAAGGUUGCCAUAACAAAGUACCACAGUUUGGACGGCUCAACCAACAGAAAUUUAUUUUUCUGCAGCGCUGGAGGCUAGAAGUCCAAGAUGAAGGUGUUGGUAGGUUUGGUUUCUUUUGAGGUCUCUCUCCCUGGCUUGCAGAUAGGCUAUGCUGUCAGUGUCCUCACGUGGUUUUCCCUCAGUCUGUGUGGUCUGUGUCUGAAUCUCCUCUUCUGAUAAGGGCGGCAGUCAUAUGGAUGGGGGUCCACCCACGUGACCUCAUUUUACCUUAAUUAUCUUUGAAAAAGCCUAUCUCCAAAUACAGCCACAUUCUGAGCUAAUAGGGGCUAGGGCUUCAACAGAUUUUGGGGAAACGCAGUUCAGCCCAUAACAUUGUGAAAUAUGGCACAUGUAUAAGAAAUUUAAAACGAUGUAGAUUUUAAUCUUUUUAAAGUUGAUACCUACGUAACCACCACUAAAGGCAAUACAAAGAAUAAUAGCAGUGCCCAGAGUCCGGAGAACUCCAUCCCAGUCACAACGUGCUCCUGCUCCAAAACCGAGAGGAAUUCUAGAACCUGAUUGAAAGCCGUAUGACCUGACUUGUUGGAUAGUUUUCCUAUUGUGUCUGAAUCCCAAAAAUAGAGUGUGGUUGUGGCUGUUACUGAAUUUUAUAGGAAUGGAAUCCUAAAUUAGGGGCUCCAUUUGGUCUUGUUAUUGUCUUCAAAAUAAACAUAUAAGAUUCACCCAUGUCAUCCUGUGUAUCUGCAUAUUAUCCAUUUUCAUUGCUGUUGAGCUAAUAAUGGAUCUAUCCAUUCUGCUGCUGAUGCACCUUUGUAUUGUUUUCGGCUACUGGUAACAUAAGCAUGCUGCGGUGAGUUUUUGUCCAAGUAUUCUGAUACACAUAAAAUCGACCUUUUUAUAGCAGUGGUUUACACACUUAAAAAAACAUUCAUUGGGAAGACAUAAAUAUGUUUAUGUACUUAACUGCAGAACUUUGAAAUAUAUAAGGCAAAAAGCGACCAAACUAAAGGAUAAUAUACAAAUUACAAUCAUACUUGAGGAUGUUAACACUUCUUUCUCACUAAUUGUUAGAAUAAGUAAACAAGAAGCAAAUCGGAGUGCAAAAGAUUUAUCUUGACCUAAUGGUAUUUGUAAAACACUAUAUCCAGCAUUAGCUGAACACACUUCUUUUUCUUUUCUUUCUUUUUAAAGGACAUGGAUGAAACAUUUAUUCUGUCUUGCUUGAAUGAACUGUAUUUCAGGGUAAGAGGCUGAUGUCAGACAGUUCUUUUUUUUUUAAUUUAAAUUUAUUUAAUUAACAUACUGUAUUAUUAGCUUCAGGGGUAGAAUUUAGUGAUUCAUCAGUUGCGUACAACACUCAUUGCUCAUUAUUUCAGGUGCCCUCCUUAAUGCCCGUCACCCACAUACCCCAUCCUCCCAACCACGUCCCCCUCCAGCAACCCAGAUUGUUUUUAUUUAUUUUUUAUUUUUUAUUUUAAAGAUUUUAUUUAUUUAUUGGAGAGAGAGAGAGUGAGAGAGAGCAUGAGAGGGGAAAGGGUCAGAAGGAGAAGCAGACUCCCCACCGAGCGGGGAGCCUGACACGGGGCUCGAUCCCGGGACUCCAGGAUCAUGACCUGAGCCAAAGGCAGUCGCUUAACCAACUGAGCCACCCAGGCGCCCCCCCAGAUUGUUUUUUAUAGCUAAGAGUCUAUUAUUGUUUGCCUCCCUCUUUCUUUUUAUCUUCUUUUAUUUUUCCUUCCCUUCCCUUAUGUUCAUGUGUUUUGUUUCUUAAAUUCCACAUAGCAGUGGAAUCAUAUGGUAUUUGUCUUUCUCUGACUUAUUUUGCUUAGCAUAAUACCCUCUAGUUUCAUCCACGUCAUUGCAAAUGGCAAGACUUCAUUCUUUUUGAAGGCUGAGUAAUAUUCCAACAUAAAUAUAUAAAAAUCACCUCUUCUUUAUCCAUUCAUCUGUCAAGGGACAUCUGGGCUCUUUCCAUAUUUUGGCGAUUGUGGACAUUGCUGCUUUAAACACUGGGGCACAUGUGCUCCUUCAAAUCACUAUGUUUAUAUCCUUGGGAUAAAUACCUAGUAGUGCAAUUGCUCGGUAGAACAUACUUCUUUUUCAAGUGAACCUGGAAGGUUCAUGAGGUAGGCAUAUAUUGGGUCAAAACCUAUGUCUUGACAAAUUUCCAAAGUGGAGCAUAUAUACAGGGUUUUUUCUCUGAACACAGUGGAAUUAAAGCAGAAACCAAUAACUAAGAUAUCUAGAAAAUCUGCAAAUAUUUAGAAAGAAAUGAAAACAUACUUUCACAUAACCAGUGGGUCAAAGAAGGAACAAUAUAAAAUUAGAAAUAAUUUGAACUGAAUGAUAACUAAAACAGAGCAAAUAAAAAAUUUUUUAAAAGAUUUUAUUUAUUUGAGAGAGAGAGAGCACAAGCAGGGGGAGUGGCACGCAGAGGGAGAAGCAGGCUCUCCGCUGAGCAGGGAGUCCAACUCUGGGGCUCCAUCCCAAGACCCCAGGAUCAUGACCUGAGUUGAAAGCUUAACAGACUAAGCCACCCAGGCACCCUAGAGCAAAUCUACAUUUACAGUAUGUGGUUAAAGCAGUGCAUAAGGGAAUGUUGCAUCUUUAAGUGUUUAUAUUAAAAAAUAAGAUCUAAAAAUAGUGAUUUAAGAUUCCAUCCUAAAAACAGAGAAAUGAAAGCAAGUUAA